rnacentral:rRNA from 1 species
CCUACGGGAGGCAGCAGUGAGGAAUAUUGGUCAAUGGGCGCGAGCCUGAACCAGCCAAGUAGCGUGAAGGAUGACUGCCCUACGGGUUGUAAACUUUUUUUAUAAAGGAAUAAAGUGAGGCACGUGUGCCUUUUUGUAUGUACUUUAUGAAUAAGGAUCGGCUAACUACGUGCCAGCAGCCGCGGUAAUACGGAGGUUGCGAGCGUUAUCCGGAUUUAUUGGGUUUAAAGGGAGCGUAGAUGGGUGGUUAAGUCAGAUGUGAAAGUCUGGGGCUCAACCGUAGGAUUGCAAUGGAUACUGGGGGGCUAGAGUGCUGGUGAGGUAAGGGGAAUUCGUGGUGUAGCGGUGAAAUGCGUAGAUAUCACGAGGAACACCAAUGGCGAAGGCAGCUUACUAGACAGCAACUGACGUUGAGGCUCGAAAGCGUGGGGAGCAAACAGGAUUAGAUACCCUAGUAGUC